rnacentral:rRNA from 1 species
UAGGGAAUCUUCCGCAAUGGACGAAAGUCUGACGGAGCAACGCCGCGUGAGUGAAGAAGGUUUUCGGAUCGUAAAACUCUGUUGUCAGAGAAGAACAAGUCGGAGAGUAACUGCUCCGGCCUUGACGGUAUCUGACCAGAAAGCCACGGCUAACUACGUGCCAGCAGCCGCGGUAAUACGUAGGUGGCAAGCGUUGUCCGGAUUUAUUGGGCGUAAAGCGAGCGCAGGCGGUUCCUUAAGUCUGAUGUGAAAGCCCACGGCUCAACCGUGGAAGGUCAUUGGAAACUGGGGAACUUGAGUGCAGAAGAGGAGAGUGGAAUUCCAGGUGUAGCGGUGAAAUGCGUAGAUAUAUGGAGGAACACCAGUGGCGAAGGCGACUCUCUGGUCUGUAACUGACGCUGAGGCUCGAAAGCGUGGGGAGCAAACAG